rnacentral:other from 2 species
UGCUUUCUGGGUUAUUUGCCAGCCAAAUAACACUUCGAGCCGAUACAAAAAAAUAAGGGAAUUUGAUACUUAUUUUUGUUGAGCACCCAUUUGGAUUGCCUGAAAAAAUAGUGAUUCUUCCCGACCUGAGCUUUUCGGUUCGGGUAAAUUUUGCAGCGAUAACUUGGAAAGCUC